AUUGAACGCUGGCGGCAGGCCUAACACAUGCAAGUCGAACGGUAACAGGAAGCAGCUUGCUGCUUUGCUGACGAGUGGCGGACGGGUGAGUAAUGUCUGGGAAACUGCCCGAUGGAGGGGGUUAACUACUGGAAACGGUAGCUAAUACUGCAUAACGUCGCAAGACCACAGAGGGGGACCUUAGGGCCUAUUGCCACCGGAUGUGCCCAGCUGGGAUUAGCUAGUUGGUGGGGUAACGGCUCACCUAGGCGACGAUCCCUAGCUGGUCUGAGAGGAUGACCAGCCACACUGGAACUGAGACACGGUCCAGACUCCUACGGGAGGCAGCAGUAGGGAAUAUUGCACAAUGGGCGCAAGCCUGAUGCAGCCAUGCCGCGUGUAUGAAGAAGGCCUUCGGGUUGUAAAGUACUUUCAGCGGGGAGGAAGGGAGUAAAGUUAAUACCUUUGCUCAUUGACGUUACCCGCAGAAGAAGCACCGGCUAACUCCGUG
rnacentral:rRNA from 1 species